rnacentral:rRNA from 1 species
GCUUAUACUCGACCGUCAGCGGCACGUGCGAUCGCGCGAACUUUCACGAGCGAGCGCGGUCACGAAGCCCUGACGAGUAGGAGGGUCGCGGCGGUGAGCGCAGAAGGGCUGGCCGCGAGGCCGUCUGGAGCCGCCGUCGGUGCAGAUCUUGGUGGUAGUAGCAAAUACUCCAGCGAGGCCCUGGAGGACUGACGUGGAGAAGGGUUUCGUGUGAACAGCCGUUGCACACGAGUCAGUCGAUCCUAAGCCCUAGGCGAAAGCCGAUGUCGAUGCGGUGUAGUUUUUACGAUAGAUAGACAGACAGACAGACGAAAUUCGACGACUACGACGAAAGAAACAUCAAUUCGUCGUCUAGUCGUCAUCGUCGUCGUAAGUCUAAUUAAUAACGCGAGAGCACACACCCGUCGGGCGAAAGGGAAUCCGGUUCCUAUUCCGGAACCUGGCAGCGGAACCGUCAAAAAGUCGGGC